CAUACAUUCUCUGACACAGUUUGAGCUUCUAAAGCAACAAAGUCUAACCUAUUCCAGUGCUCUCUUUCCCAUGAGGCAAGCUGUCAUACAGGCUCAAAGAAA
rnacentral:snoRNA from 1 species